AUUGAACGCUGGCGGCAUGCCUUACACAUGCAAGUCGAACGGCAGCACGGGAGCAAUCCUGGUGGCGAGUGGCGAACGGGUGAGUAAUAUAUCGGAACGUGCCCGGUCGUGGGGGAUAACGUAGCGAAAGCUACGCUAAUACCGCAUACGAUCUACGGAUGAAAGCGGGGGAUCGCAAGACCUCGCGCGAUUGGAGCGGCCGAUAUCAGAUUAGGUAGUUGGUGAGGUAAAGGCUCACCAAGCCGACGAUCUGUAGCUGGUCUGAGAGGACGACCAGCCACACUGGGACUGAGACACGGCCCAGACUCCUACGGGAGGCAGCAGUGGGGAAUAUUGGACAAUGGGCGAAAGCCUGAUCCAGCAAUGCCGCGUGAGUGAUGAAGGCCUUAGGGUUGUAAAGCUCUUUACCCGAGAUGAUAAUGACAGUAUCGGGAGAAUAAGCUCCGGCUAACUCCGUGCCAGCAGCCGCGGUAAA
rnacentral:rRNA from 1 species